rnacentral:rRNA from 1 species
GACGAACGCUGGCGGCGCGCUUAACACAUGCAAGUCGAACGGAAAGGCCUGCUUUCCCUUGUGGAUUGCGGGUACUCGAGUGGCGAACGGGUGAGUAACACGUGAGUGAUCUGCCCCCAACUUGGGUAUAAGCCUGGGAAACUGGGUCUAAUUCCCGAUAGGACUUCAGGGUGGUGCCUGUGGUGGGAAACGAUUUUCUAGUGGUUGGGGAUGAGCUCGCGGCCUAUCAGCUUGUUGGUGGGGUAAUGUCCUACCAAGGCGGCGACGGGUAGCCGGCCUGAGAGGGUGGACGGCCACAUUGGGACUGAGAUACGGCCCAGACUCCUACGGGAGGCAGCAGUGGGGAAUAUUGCACAAUGGGCGGAAGCCUGAUGCAGCGACGCCGCGUGGGGGAUGACGGCCUUCGGGUUGUAAACUCCUUUCGACCGCGAGGAAGCCACCUGGUUGGAAGGGUGGUGACGGUAGUGGUAGAAGAAGCACCGGCUAACUACGUG